CAGUCGCCGCGGGAAUACGGAGGGUGCAAGCGUUAAUCGGAAUUACUGGGCGUAAAGCGCACGCAGGCGGUCUGUCAAGUCAGAUGUGAAAUCCCCGGGCUUAACCUGGGAACUGCAUUUGAAACUGGCAGGCUAGAGUCUUGUAGAGGGGGGUAGAAUUCCAGGUGUAGCGGUGAAAUGCGUAGAGAUCUGAAGGAAUACCGGUGGCGAAGGCGGCCCCCUGGACAAAGACUGACGCUCAGGUGCGAAAGCGUGGGGAGCAAACAGGAUUAGAUACCCGUGUAGUCCCUGUCUCUUAUAC
rnacentral:rRNA from 1 species